rnacentral:rRNA from 1 species
UACGUAGGGUGCAAGCGUUAAUCGGAAUUACUGGGCGUAAAGCGUGCGCAGGCGGUUUUGUAAGUCUGUCGUGAAAGCCCCGGGCUCAACCUGGGAAUUGCGAUGGAGACUGCAAGGCUUGAAUCUGGCAGAGGGGGGUAGAAUUCCACGUGUAGCAGUGAAAUGCGUAGAGAUGUGGAGGAACACCGAGGGCGAAGGCAGCCCCCUGGGUCAAGAUUGACGCUCAUGCACGAAAGCGUGGGGAGCAAACAGG